UACAGAGGGUGCGAGCGUUAAUCGGAAUUACUGGGCGUAAAGCGUGCGUAGACGGCUAUCUAAGUCGGGUGUGAAAGCCCCGGGGCUCAACCUGGGAAUUGCAUUCGAGACUGAAUAGCUAGGGUACGGUAGAGGGAAGCGGAAUUUCCGGUGUAGCGGUGAAAUGCGUAGAUAUCGGAAAGGAACAUCAGUGGCGAAAGCGGCUUCCUGGACCAGUACCGACGUCAGGCACGAAAGCGUGGGGAGCAAACAGGGA
rnacentral:rRNA from 1 species